AUAUUGUUGCAUGAAUUCCACGUACAUGGUUUGAAAUUUGCUGUCUCUCAAAUUUUUCUCAGUGUGUUGCAGAGCUCGGCGGGCGGCGCGGAUUGUUCCUGAGAGGUCCGGCAGAGAGUCAAUCGUGGGCAGGCGCACGAUAUACCGGCCGUCGGCGUUGCGUGAUUGGUGCAGGCGAUAGUGCUUUUCGCACUCCAGUUCGGCCUUGGAGAAGAGCUGAGACAGCCGGCGAACUUCCUCUUGCUCCCAGAAGCAACGCACCAAACAGGCCCUCGCGGAUGAUUACUCCGUAGACGUCGGCGCCCAGCAGAAGGUCUACUGGAUCCGCGGAACUGAAUUCUGAAUCGGCGAGCUCCAGGUCCUUUAGAUGGGUCCAGGAUUGCAGACUUCGGCGGCAUCCUCCGGCGAAGAGAGUGAGCUUCGGCAAGAUCAAGGCGGCGACGGAGUUGGACUGGUCACCGUUGUGCGCUUGAAAGGUCUGGCUGCCUGGUUCCUGCCAAUGAUGGACUGGAAGAGGUCUCGGAAGGAAGGCCAGUCUUCGUACUUCCCGGCGAAGGUCGGCGGCUGAAUUUUUGGCAAUGCGGUCCGAGGAGCGGCGGCCGGUGUCGCUGCCGAAAUUGAGCUGGAUGUAUGCUCUUGUCGUUGGAGAGCGCUCUUCAGAUCGAGCAUGAGGCCCUUGUUCUGCAGCUUCUCGAGAUUUUGAAGCCGGGCCUCCACCGCGCCGAGGGUGAUAUUGGCCUCGCCGAGCUUCCGAAGGUUCUCGUACGCGCGCGAGAUCUUGCCGUAUAGCACUGUGGCUGUGGCAAUGAUUGCCUUUGUGUCUGCCAUCUCUAACACUGUCUCUUUUUUCCAGAAGCACUGGUCACCGACACUGAUUCACUAUCGCUUCCGUGGCACCGGAUUCAAAGGAGGUUCCUGAGAAUCCGGCUCGAAGGACCAAAUAAUGUGCGCGACGGAAAGCAGGAUAGGAAG